CACCAGGGGACCCUCUCGCGCUGGGAAGCCACUCGGGCGGCUCUAGCUCAGACGGGACGGACUCUUUAUGGCCGUCCAGCCUUGGAGCCGGCGCCUGUGAAGCCAGCACUGGCGAUUGUAACACCGCACACGUGCGCUCCGCGCCCUCUGACGCGGCCUUCCCACCGAGUUAGGGACCAGGUGCACCUGCAGCCCCACGGCCUCCGGUGGGGCCACGGCCGCCCUCGGCCGGGACCGCCCGUCCCUCUUCUCGUCCCCGCCUUUCCACAAGUGCUGUGCCCCUUGGACGCCCGAGCCCGAAGGUUCCAUGAAGGAACAGAUCAGGCGGAGAAUGCAGACCUGGGGAACACUCCAAGGGCCCCCUCCCUCCCCGCCUCCUCUCCCAGAGUUUCCCGAAGGCACUGCCUGUGCCAGGUUAGGUUCCUUAGUGUAGCUGCUGAUACACGGGCUGCUCGGUACCUGUGAUGCACGGACGUCUCCUUAGAGGCUUGUGCUGUGCCUUUGAUCCUGCUGGACAGAUGCAGUCACACAGACUCAACUUCCUGACCAGAUUUUGUAAUAUUCUUGGGAGAAGCUUCAACCUCCACAACCUCCUUGUGGCCAAUUGCCACCUUCGUGCUAUUUCUCAGCCACAGCAGAACGAUGAAACCUCGCACGGCACACCUCCAAGUCCACGGGCUGCAGACUCCAAGAGACACAAGCAUGAUAUCCCCCACUCUGCUAAUGUCCUUGCUUGUGUGGAAGGCCAUCCCUCUUCUGAGGCCUGGGAUCCGUGUCCAGAGAUGGGUUUGUCUCAGAAGUUAAUGCAGGAACGGCCAGAGAUCAGGGUCUAAAGGGAUGCUCUUACUCCCUCCUAGGACCAGUCUUCCCAAGUUACAUUUGGGCUAAUUUGAUGCCAUCUGCUUCUGGACGCUAGAUUUCGGAGUGUUCGAAAAUGAUUGCAGAAUUGGGACCAGAGAAGUUUUCUGCAGUGUCAUCUUUUAUCAGUGGCCCUGAGAAGGGUCACUCAAGUCCUACCUCUGAGCCCUGAGUGAGAAUCUUAGCAAUAAUUGGUUGACUGACUGGACACAGGGAGCAAACAAGAAGGAGCCUGCUUUCACGAGUGCCUGAGUACAUUUUGCCUCAAAACUCUCUAAAACAAAGCUGUUGCUUGAAACCCAUUUCAGCCUUCCCCGGAUAAAAGCUCAGGUCUUGAGAAGUGUCUCCAAGUUGUUCAUUUUUCAAUGCCCAGCAGGGAUGUUUGCAAUAAAGUUCACUAUGAUUUGCUUGA